rnacentral:misc_RNA from 1 species
GAUGAAGAACGUAGCGAAAUGCGAUAAGUAGUGUGAAUUGCAGAAGUACCGUGAAUCAUCGAAUCUUUGAACGCAAAUUGCACUCUCUGGUAUUCCGGGGAGUAUGCCUGUUUGAGGGUCGCUUAACAAACCAUCGAUUUCGUUGCUUUUUUUUUUAGUGAUGUUUAUCGGAUUUGAGCCGUCUUUUUUUUUAUAUUUAAGUGGCUUAAAAUUGAUUUUUUUGGUACGAUCGAAGCGUAUUUUUAUGAUCAAUUUUUGGUUAAAGAAACGCACACGUACCGUUAUUUAUAUGAUGUAAUACGUUUGACUAUUGGAUUUAGUUCAUUCGUAUACGAUAUCUUUCAAUAUUUGACCUCAAAUCAGGUAAGAACACCCGCUGAACUUAAGCAUAUCAAUAAGCGGAGGA